GGGGGUAUAGCUCAAUUGGGAGAGCAGCAGACUGAAGUAAAGGUUUAAUCUGAAGGUCCCGCGUUCGAUCCGCGGUACCCCCA